rnacentral:lncRNA from 1 species
AGGGGGUUUUUUAUGGGGUCGGGGGGGGUUGGGGUCAUAAGGGUUUUUUUGGGGGUCAUGGGGGGGGUUUGGGGGUCGGGGGGGUUGCGAUUUGGGGGUUUGAGGGGGGAUUUGGUGUCUUUGGGGGGGAUUUGGGGGUUUAUGGGGGGAUUUGGGGUCAGAGGGAUUUGGGGUCGGGGGAAUGUUUGGGGUGGGGGGGGAUAUUUGGAGUCAUUGGGGGGGAUUUGGGGUCAUUGGGGGGGUUUUGGGGUGUGUGGGGUUUUGGGGUGUCCCCCCCCCCCUGCUCCGCCCCCUGUUUUUGUAUGGGGCUGGGGUAAUAAAAGGGGUUUUGGGGUCUGAGCCCGGUGUCAUUGUUUUCGGGGGGGGCUUGGGGUGGCAGGGAUGGGGGGGGGGCUGUGGGGUGCUAUGGGGUGCCAUAGGGCGCUAUGGGGUGGGCACUAUGGGGUGCUGUGGGGUGCCAUAGGGUGUUAUGGGGCGGCCAUGGGAUGCUAUAGGGCGCUAUGUGGUAGUAUAGGGUGCCAUGGGGUGCUGCAAGGUGCUUUGGGGGGGGCUAUAGGGCUCUAUGGGGCGGCCAUGGGGCGCUAUGGGACACCAUGGGGCGCUAUGGGGUGCCAUAGGGCACUAUGGGAGGGUCAUGGGGGGGCCAUAGGGUGCUCUGGGGCGCUAUGGGGCGCCAUAGGGUGCUAUGGGGUGGGUGCUAUGGGGCGGCCAUAGGGCGCUAUAGGGCCGCCAUGGGGCGCUAUGGGGUUGCUAUGGGGCGGCCAUAGGGCGCUAUGGGGCGGGCGCCUGGGCCCUGCCCCGCCCCUCCCGCGCAUGCGCCACGCCCCCCCGGGGGGCGGGGCCUCCUGAUCCUCCUCCCUCCCGAUUGGCCGCCGCCGCGCGUUCCCAUUGGCCGAGAGCGCCGGGGGCGGGGCUUCAGACCCGGAAGCGGCGCGAUGGCGCGGAGAGCGGGCCCCCCCCUGACCUUGACCCUGAGGGGGCUGCACCGGACCCGGAGCCUCCGGGGGGGGGAGGGGGGGGAGGAGGAGGAGCCCCCCCGGGGGAUGGUAAGGGGGGGAGGGGCGGGGGGGGGGGGGCAAAGGGUGGGGGAGGGGCAAAGGGUGGGGGAGGGGGGAAGUGGGGAAGGGGGAGGGGCACAGGGAGGGGGAGGGGCCUGGGGGUGGGGGAGGGGCAUUGAGGGGGGAGGGGGAAAACCGGAAGGAACCGGGGGGGGAGGGGCUCGGCGCGGUCGCGGUCACGGCGCCAGGGGGCGCUGGCCCCGCACUGCGGCCCUCAGGCCA